rnacentral:rRNA from 2 species
UACGUAGGGAGCAAGCGUUAUCCGGAUUUACUGGGUGUAAAGGGCGCGCAGGCGGGCCGGUAAGUUGGAAGUGAAAUCUAUGGGCUUAACCCAUAAACUGCUUUCAAAACUGCUGGUCUUGAGUGAUGGAGAGGCAGGCGGAAUUCCGUGUGUAGCGGUGAAAUGCGUAGAUAUACGGAGGAACACCAGUGGCGAAGGCGGCCUGCUGGACAUUAACUGACGCUGAGGCGCGAAAGCGUGGGGAGCAAACAGG